GACGAACGCUGGCGGCGUGCUUAACACAUGCAAGUCGUGCGAGAAAAUUCCCUUCGGGGGAUGAGUACAGCGGCGCACGGGUGAGUAACGCGUAAGUUAUCUGCCCCUUGGUCUGGCAUAACUCCGGGAAACCGGGGCUAAUAGCAGAUUAUAUCGUAAGAUCAAAGCCUUCGGGCGCCAAGGGAUGAGCUUGCGUCCCAUUAGCUAGUUGGCGGGGUAAUGGCCCACCAAGGCUACGAUGGGUAGCUGGUCUGAGAGGAUGAUCAGCCACAUUGGGACUGAGACACGGCCCAGACUCCUACGGGAGGCAGCAGUGAGGAAUAUUGCGCAAUGGACGAAAGUCUGACGCAGCAACGCCGCGUGCAGGAUGACGGCCCUCUGGGGUUGUAAACUGCUGUAGCAGGGGAAUAACACCCGCCUUUGGCGGGUUG
rnacentral:rRNA from 1 species